GGAGACGUGGCAGAGUGGUUGAACGCGUCGGUUUCGAAAACCGAUAAGGGAGCAAUCCCUUCGGAGGUUCGAAUCCUCCCGUCUCCG
rnacentral:tRNA from 1 species